rnacentral:rRNA from 1 species
UACGAAGGGUGCAAGCGUUACUCGGAAUUACUGGGCGUAAAGCGUGCGUAGGUGGUGAGUUAAGUCUGUCGUGAAAGCCCCGGGCUCAACCUGGGAAUGGCGAUGGAUACUGGCUCGCUAGAGUGCGGUAGAGGAGAGUGGAAUUCCCGGUGUAGCAGUGAAAUGCGUAGAGAUCGGGAGGAACAUCAGUUGCGAAGGCGGCUCUCUGGACCGCACUGACACUGAGGCACGAAAGCGUGGGGAGCAAACAGG